CGCGGCGAGACGUCUUGGAACCUCGCCGCGGCAGGUUCGCCUGACGGAGCAGCGUGCGCUGCAGCGCUUGAACGGCCUGGCGCGCACGCAGGGCUGCGGUGGAGUCACCGAGUUCGUCGGAGCAGUGACGGUGGUGAACGGCCUGAUCGGCCCAGCCGAGAUCGCCAUCAACCGGACCCUGGUCGCCUUCGGGAACCCUGGCUAUCAAGGCUUCACACAAAGCGGCUUCAGCAGGCUGGGGCAGGCUCCGGAGUUCAGCUCGCCCGGCCCGCUGCCGGCAAGCUUCGGGUCCGGAUCCUCCAAGGGGUCGACCUGGGCCAGCCAGCUCCUGGCGAUCAUGUUGCUCGUCGCACUCCUCGGCUUCCGAAGGUUCGUUCCCAUGGUCAUUGCGCGGCUCCGCGGCCGCCCAAUGCCUGAACAGGGACGCCCGAAUCUCGAGCGCGUCCACGGGAACGAGAAGCUCCAGCCGGCUUUACACGAAGAGCGGACUGCAGAGCGAGAGAAGAUCGCUGCCUGAGGGCGGGCUCGGCGAGGCCGGACGGUGCGCAAGUUCCGUCGUGACGGCCCGUUAAAGCUAUGUCCCGUGCGGCGUGCACGGAUCGCAGCCACCAAUGAUCACACGGGCAAUGAACAUCGCCAUGUUGUCGCGAAUCGCUGCCGUUACGGCGGUUGUCCUCAGCAUGCUCGCGCCUGCGGUCAGCCCGGCGCGCGCAGCUGACCCGGUCAUUGCCGCCGCAGGUGACAUCGCCUGCGAUCCGGCCGACCCGUACUUCUACUACGGGCUCGGGGAUGCCACCCACUGCCGCCAGCGGUACGUGUCCGACCUACUCGUCAACGCCGGCCUGGCUGCUGUGCUUCCCCUCGGCGAUCUCCAGUACGACAGUGCAUCGGCCUCCCAGAUCGAGGGCUCUUACCACCCGAGCUGGGGACGCGUGAAGUCGAUCACUCGGCCGGCGCUGGGCAAUCACGAACCCGGCAGUGCGAGCGCAUACUUCGACUACUUCAACGGCAGUGGAGUCAAGAACGGGCCUGCCGGCGAACGGGGUAAGGGUUACUACAGCUACAACGUCGGGACCUGGCACCUCAUCGCCCUCAACUCGAACUGCGCAAAGGUUCCCUGCAGCGCCGGAUCGGCCCAGGAGCGCUGGCUGCGCGGGGACCUGUACGCGAACAGGAACCGCUGCACGCUCGCCUACUGGCACCACCCACGCUUCAGCUCGGGUCACGACGGCAACAACACGACCACGCAGGCGAUCUGGACUGCGCUGUAUGAGGGUGGAGU
rnacentral:misc_RNA from 1 species